GGAGAGGUGACCGAGAGGCCGAAGGUGCACGACUGGAAAUCGUGUGUACCGAGAGGUACCGCGGGUUCGAAUCCCGCCCUCUCCG
rnacentral:tRNA from 1 species